rnacentral:misc_RNA from 1 species
UUGUGUACAGGAAGUUAUGAUACAAACCUAAAGAUUUGGGCUUUUGGAGGCCAUAGGAAGGUGAUUUGAAUUUCUUUGCAGUUCUCUCUUAUGUAAGGCUCAUUGGUUCCUGCUACCGUCAAUGCCUUGUGCUUCCUUGGUAGAAUUUCAAUGUGUUCUCUGUAAGUUGAUGUGAAGAAGGCAUAAUCGGUACUAUUGCCUCUAGUAAUCUCUAAAUGAGAAAACUGAGUUUUAAAGGAAGAAUGGGGAAAAUGUUGCAGGAAAACGUGAAUAGUUGGGCUUGCCCUGGCUGGAGGUCUAUCGGCCUAUUGUUUUUCCUCCCUUUGUAUUCUUUGCCCAUUUAUUGUAACGGGAAAACUGGGUUCUCGAGGACUACUUGUUAUUUCUUCAGUAAAAUCGAUUAAAUAGUGCCCAAGACCACUGUACUUAAUCCUGUGAGAAGAGAACC